rnacentral:rRNA from 1 species
CCCUUAGAUGUCCUGGGCCGCACGCGCGCUACACUGAUGUGUCCAGUAAGCACCUAACCUCUUCCGAAAGGAACGGGUAACCUUUGCAAAGCACAUCGUGAUGGGGAUAGAUUAUUGCAAUUAUUAGUCUUGAACGAGGAAUUCCUAGUAAGCACAAGUCAUCAGCUUGUGUUGAUUACGUCCCUGCCCUUUGUACACACCGCCCGUCGCUCCUACCGAUUGAAUGUUCCGGUGAGCUCUUCGGACUGCGCGGUCUGCAGUUUCUGCGUUCCGUGCGGAAAGUUGCGCAAACCUUAACAUUUAGAGGAAGGAGAAGGCGUAACA